AGCCAUGCGUUGAGUACAUAGCGAACUAUUCUUUCGCCUUUUACUAAAGAAUACCGUGUGCGCGGCGCUUUAAGUGGCAUACGUCUAUUUUUGGAAGGGUGCAUCUUUGUGGGUGCC
rnacentral:snRNA from 1 species